CUAUAAUAAUGGCAAUAUUUUCCAUCAACAACAAUUUACCUAAUGAGUGUUUGGUGCUUUGGGUCUGGGUGA
rnacentral:snoRNA from 1 species